GCCCGUUUGGCUCAGUGGAUAGAGCGUCAGCCUGCGACUGAAGGGUCCCCAGGUUCAAUUCCUGUCAAGGGCA
rnacentral:tRNA from 1 species